rnacentral:rRNA from 1 species
UGACAAACCAUAAGAGGUCCAGCCUGCCCAGUGACAAAAUUCAACGGCCGCGGUACCCUAACCGUGCGAAGGUAGCAUAAUCACUUGUUCUUUAAAUGAGGACCUGUAUCAACGGCACUACGAGGGCUAUACUGUCUCCUUUUUCUAAUCAAUGAAACUGAUCUCCCCGUGAAGAAGCGGGGAUCAAAAUAUAAGACGAGAAGACCCCAUGGAGCUUUAAACUCACCAUACACCUCUGUGCCCCCACACCAUUAGACGCAAGAGAUCUGCAUGUUAGUUUUAGGUUGGGGGGACCACGGAGCAUAACUUAACCUCCGUAACAAAUGGGCUUACACCCUUAUCCACGAGACACAACUCUAAGAAUUAUUAAACUAAUGCUUAUGACCCGAUAUUCGAUCAAUGAACCAAGUUACCCUGGGGAUAACAGCGCAAUCUACUUCAAGAGCCCAUAUCGACAAGUAGGU